GACGAACGCUGGCGGCGUGCUUAACACAUGCGAGUCGAACGCUGAAGCUUGGUGCUUGCACUGGGUGGAUGAGUGGCGAACGGGUGAGUAAUACGUGAGUAACCUGCCCUUGACUCUGGGAUAAGCCUGGGAAACUGGGUCUAAUACUGGAUACGACAUGCCACUGCAUGGUGGUGUGUGGAAAGGGUUUUACUGGUUUUGGAUGGGCUCACGGCCUAUCAGCUUGUUGGUGGGGUAAUGGCCUACCAAGGCGACGACGGGUAGCCGGCCUGAGAGGGUGACCGGCCACACUGGGACUGAGACACGGCCCAGACUCCUACGGGAGGCAGCAGUGGGGAAUAUUGCACAAUGGGCGGAAGCCUGAUGCAGCGACGCCGCGUGAGGGAUGACGGCCUUCGGGUUGUAAACCUCUUUCAGCACGGAAGAAGCGAGAGGGACGGUACGUGCAGAAGAAGCGCCGGCUAACUACGU
rnacentral:rRNA from 1 species